GGCGAAAGCCUGAUCCAGCCAUGCCGCGUGUGUGAAGAAGGUCUUCGGAUUGUAAAGCACUUUAAGUUGGGAGGAAGGGCAGUAAGUUAAUACCUUGCUGUUUUGACGUUACCAACAGAAUAAGCACCGGCUAACUUCGUGCCAGCAGCCGCGGUAAUACGAAGGGUGCAAGCGUUAAUCGGAAUUACUGGGCGUAAAGCGCGCGUAGGUGGUUCGUUAAGUUGGAUGUGAAAGCCCCGGGCUCAACCUGGGAACUGCAUCCAAAACUGGCGAGCUAGAGUAUGGCAGAGGGUGGUGGAAUUUCCUGUGUAGCGGUGAAA
rnacentral:rRNA from 1 species